UACGUAGGGGGCUAGCGUUGUCCGGAUUUAUUGGGCGUAAAGAGCGUGUAGGCGGCCAUGUAGGUCCGGUGUGAAAACUCGAGGCUUAACCUCGAGAUGUCAUCGGAAACCAUUUGGCUAGAGUCCGGAAGAGGAGAGUGGAAUUCCUGGUGUAGCGGUGAAAUGCGCAGAUAUCAGGAAGAACACCGACGGCGAAGGCAGCUCGCUGGGACGGUACUGACGCUGAGGCGCGAAAGCGUGGGGAGCGAACAGG
rnacentral:rRNA from 1 species